GGUACUCCUAUUAAUGAUGUAUUUAGAAUUUGAAAUUAUAUUUGGACAUACAUUUCACUUGAAAAAAUAUUACAAUUUUAUGAGUGGAGAAAAUUUUGAAAAAUCGAUCAAAACCACUUUUUAGGUUUUGAAAAACUCAUUUUCGAAUUUAUUUUUCAAAAACUUGUAAAAUUUCAUGGACAAACACAAUUUUGAAACUUUCUUUUGAAAAAAAUAAUUUAUGGACAAACGGGGCCUUAAACUUCUAAGAGAAUCUUUUGAGAAAUCACUUUCUUUUCAAAAGACUAUUGUCAUGGAAGAGCACAUUUUAAUCUCAAACCUCAGUGAGACUGAGUUAGCAAAAGAGGAAAAACACCUUAGUACCCUAUAUUCUAACAGGAAAAAGAAGAAAAAAAAAGAAACUUGUAUGAAACAACAUUAUGGCUCUGAAUAUCCACAAUUUUCAGAUAUUCCAAACUGGUUAGGAUAUCCAUUCCGUUUCCUCAGAAUUUGAUCUUAGAUACUGUAGAUGCUAAAAUGUACGAAGGGGUCUGGAAUGGAGCCGUUAAAGCAAUUGAAAUUGAAACUGUAAAAUGUUGAGCACAAAACUGGGAGAGAUCGUGGUCCAAAUAUCUCAAAAAUAGUUAAGACUUCUGUUAGUCUCUCCACCUUAUCCCUGUGGACUCAGCAGAACAGAACAGAAAAAAAUCAUUAGGCUAAUACGUUUUUCCUUAGUUGGCUAAUUAAACUCGUGACAGCCACAUGCUAAUUUUGACUACUGCACAUUGUUUACCCUUAAAACGGAUAACAAUUAAAUUUAUACGUAAUUUUAAAUAUAUGUGGAUUGAUUCAACAGAAAUAAACAAGAAUGUUAAAUAAACGAGUAAAAUAUAGAAUGAAUAAUCAAACUAAUUGUGAUGUUAUGGCCGGUUUCGGAUUUAAGCUAAACAGAAGCUUUACCCUCGAUCGGACCCUUAACUCGGAGCCAAUUGUGUAUGAAGAACAACAAUAAAAUAUGAACUUUGCAAUAGCUAGAAAGCAAGAAAAUGAACUUGUAUUUCUUGCUUUGCAUCUUACAAUGUGUCUUAUUGAAUAAAAAGGUUCCCCUUUAUAUAGUAGGAGAGUUUCACCCCUAGUACAAUUCUAAAAAAAGAUAAAAAAAAUCCUCCUUUCUCGUCAAUUACUGAUCUGCUACCAACAUCGGGCGAGAUCUGCGCCGUGAUAUCCGAUUGGGUGCGGAUAUCACGGCUCUCUGUUGGUCGUGUGCAGUUGUUUGUCAUGCUUUCUGAGGUCUUGGAGCUCGUUCUGAGCUCGGGAGUGUUGUCUUGUCAGGCCCGGUGACAAGUACCCCGUUCGGGCCUUGAUACAAAGAGUUCCCGGCUUCGAUUUCGAUCUCAUAUAUUCAUACUCUUACUUCGUUUGAUUCAUCGGAAAAUCGGGGUGUGUGCUAAUCCCGAUUUCACCCGUACACAAAUAGUCCCCUCGUUUCUGAAAGAGUAGGUUUGCCUGGGAAACGAUAGAUGAACCCCUGGCUCUUUCCUUCGUAAGUUACAACCGAGAUGACGAAUAAGCCGAAACAUCCCAUCAGUCGCGUCGUUCUGUCUUCGGAUAUGUGUCGGCCAUCGGUUGGUUGACUUCGAAUGUGAAACGUCGCGUAUUGAUUACAUUUUUCCCUAUAAAAGCUUCGACAUUUUGUACUUCUUUCACUUUCCGAUCCUAGCUUUUACCUUCGAAUUUUCUAGCGGCUAUAAACUUUUUCAAACCUUCAUAUCUUCAUCUCUGACCUUCAAAUCUUCAUAUUUGUUCUUAAAUUUCUAACCCAGAUCUUCAUCCUACCUUCAAAUCAUCAUACCUUUCCUUCAAACCUUCAUACUUUUCCCUUCAAAUCUUUGUACUUUUCCUUCAAAUAUUCAUAUAUUCCCAGAUCACAAUGGCUAAAAUUUCCAAAUUAGUUCCUCAGCAGGCUGCUCCCUUAUCUUCUCACCCGGCCACAAAUGUCGAGGUGGCUGCUCCUGAGGUGGCCUCAAAGCCCCAUAUGAAAAGCUUUAUACUCGGGGUUGUUCAAUCGGGGAAGACUUCAAGGUAAAAAAGGCCUCCGCCAAACAAGACCGAGGUGAAGGAGCAUGGAGAUACAUAUGCUCCAUUACCGAAGAUACCUUUCCCAUAGUUCGAGAGGACUGUAAAUUGGAAGGCAAGGACAUGGUAGUCCCCGGGCCUAAGGACGAUAUUACUACCCACGUGGAGGGGAAUUUAAGUGUUUAUACUUAACCCUUCACGCUGGGCCCGAUAGACCUAGUAGUCCUGGCCUUUUGAAAGAGGUACGUUCCUCGGGCAAAUCCACCCGUCCCUUUGUAGGAUCGUGAUCCUCCUACGCCAUUUUAUGAGCAAUACAGAAUCACCUCGGUUCACCCCCGACCACCUACUCCGUCAGUACAGUCCACGAAUUUUCUGAGGGGGACUAAUCAAGCUUGUUCACCAAGGCAGCAAGGCUCCCUUUUCGAGCAUCGACGAGGAUCGAGACCGAGGUUGGCAGGGGCGUUUUGUUCGAGUAAAAACUGAAAAUCUGAUCGUGCAGCUUUUGAUUGGGUUCCCAACGCAGUCCCCCGGCUCAAGGAUUGGAUCGAAGGAAUCUUCAAGCAAAUAUCAUACUAUGAGCGCGCGUGGCACAAGCUUUCGAAGGGCAGGUGGGAGGCCCGUUUUCAUGGUAAGGCUCUCCCGUGAAUAGUUAUUAUUACCCCCCCAAAGUUACAUAAUGCUGACUUCUUUUCCUUUCCCUCGCAGGUUUGCCUAAGACGACCGAACUUAGGCCGUUGGAUGGAUACAGGGAUGCGUUCUUACCCAUCAAUCCCUCCAUUUCGGGAUAACCCGAGGCUUCCGCAGGGGAGAAGAAGAGGAAAAGACAGUCCUCGGGCUCCUCGAAUCCCGAGGCGAAGAUAAAAAAGAGGCCGGCUACCCGGGAUCGUAAGCCCAAGAAGAAUACUAAGUCUAAGGUACCGGACUCUAACUUCCUUCACCGGCUUAGGGAUGAGCCCCAAGAAGAUGACAUCUUCGCCACCCAUGGAUCGACCCUUGUCGGGGAGUAGGAGACGACCGAGGGAAAGGGCCAUGAGGUCGAUCCUCUUCCGAUUUGAGAGGCCGAAGUGGAGACAGAUGUUAUGACCUCCCAAGAAACCGUUCCCAUACUGAAAGAGGCGACCGGUGUUAUCGAUAUCAUCGAGACACCCUCUUAUACCGAGUCUAUGCUUGAAGAGGCCCAAGAGGGUAAGAAAAAGUCAAGUAAAGGAGUUCAGGGUGCAGAUAGCCCUCUCCACUCCUUCUUAGAUGGCAUGACAUGUCCACGUUGGAAGAUUUUUCCAGGUUGGGUGACCUGGAGAUCCUGAAGAAGGACGUGCCAUCGGGAGCUGGUCGACCGAGUUCGACCCCAAAACUUGUGAAGCAGUUUCCCGCACCGAGCGUGGACCCUGACCGUAAGAGAAUAGUCAUUCUUACGAUCUCGGAGGGUGCUCGGGUUCUAUCUACCCCAUUGGGCGUAGCGAGCUACCUCCGAUGCUUUGUGACCGAGGAGGACCAGGCAAAGAUGAACGAGGUGGGCGCAUCAAGUAUUUUCAACGAGGCGCAGCAGGUGCUGAACCGGGUAAGACAUCAAUACUUUUACACUCCCUUGUGAAUUCCACUUAAGUUUUGAUGUAUCUUACCGUUUUCGUUGUUUUACAUGCCUCGGUGCUUCACCAUGAGAGCUUUCUCCGGUAUCGCUUGGAAAUCAUCCAGCUCGAGUUCGUGCUCAAAGAGCAGGUCCGGAAUAAGAACAUGUACAAGCUUCUCAGUGAGCAACAGGGCGGGGCCAUCAAAGACCUCCAGGCCGAGCUGGACAAGGCUCAAAAGGAAGCCUCAACCCUGAAGCGGGAUCAUGCCGGCCUGGUUGAAAAGGUAAAUGUCAUUGAAGCUAAAAAUGAGGAGCUAGUCGUGGUGACUAACAACACAACCUCACAGGUCCAACAGAAGAUCGAUCUGAUCGACCAGCUCCAAGCCGAGAUGAACGAGGUCAAGGCCAUGGCCGAAGAUGGAAAGGCAAAAUAGACCUGCUGGCUUCGGAGAAGGAAACCGCGAAGGUGGAGCUGGCAUCAAUUGAGAACCAACUCCGGGUGGCGAAGGACAAAGCUGAUAAAUGUUCUCAGCUGAAUGAUGAUCUCCGAGCACAUUUGAGCUCCACUGUCACAGAGCAGGAUGACCUCGGUAGAGAAUAUGAGGCAAUGAAGUUCAAAUUGGACACAACCUCUGCCAAUGCCGAAGAAAUGGUGGUCCAAUACAAGGCCGAUGUGGAGGCAACUGAGACCCGCCUAAAGAUGAAGACUGAAUAUGUGAAGCGUCUAUCCCGUAGAGAGACCCUCGAAGAGAUCUAUGCCCGAGGUUUCAACCUGUCGGAUGAGAUCGAGGAAGCAAAAAGCUCGAGGCCGAGGCAAAGAAGCUUUACGAGCCGAGGGCUCCGGCGGUUCUGGCGACGAGUCGGGGCCCGAUGAAGACCAGGCGUAGANNNNNNNNNNNNNNNNNNNNNNNNNNNNNNNNNNNNNNNNNNNNNNNNNNNNNNNNNNNNNNNNNNNNNNNNNNNNNNNNNNNNNNNNNNNNNNNNNNNNNNNNNNNNNNNNNNNNNNNNNNNNNNNNNNNNNNNNNNNNNNNNNNNNNNNNNNNNNNNNNNNNNNNNNNNNNNNNNNNNNNNNNNNNNNNNNNNNNNNNNNNNNNNNNNNNNNNNNNNNNNNNNNNNNNNNNNNNNNNNNNNNNNNNNNNNNNNNNNNNNNNNNNNNNNNNNNNNNNNNNNNNNNNNNNNNNNNNNNNNNNNNNNNNNNNNNNNNNNNNNNNNNNNNNNNNNNNNNNNNNNNNNNNNNNNNNNNNNNNNNNGGCGUCUACCCUUUUAUAAUUUCUAUNAUGUAUGUUUUUAAUGCCUUAGCAUAGAAUCAAAUGUAGUUGUGGGGCGUUCGUUUUUCGGAGGUUCAAAUGGAGACCGGCCUCGAUACAACUUUGUUUGCUCGAGGCUUUGAAACCUCGGUGUGACCAGAGGUUUUCAAGAUGCUUAAGUGAUUUUAGACGAUUCUUUUGUCGAGGGUAAUCUUUUAGCAGGUUUCGAGUUCUUAUAAAGGCCGUACUUUCUGAUUACGAGCUUCGGACGUCUCCGAGCUGCUUUUAGAGCAGCCGUAGCCUUUUGUAUUUGGGCACCGCCUAAUAGGUUUGGGGCCUCCGGGAUUUGGUAGCCCGGGUUGUUAGAACUUUCUUCGAGCGACAGUCCCCGAGUAGAGGUAUACCUUGGGCUCGAUAGUCCCAGAGUAGGGGUAGCUCAUGGGCUCGAUAGUCCUCAAGUAGGGGUAGCAUAUGAAGUGAACGAUCAUUGACUCCGAUUUGAGACUGUUCUUCGAGUCUAAGUUAGCACGUUUUACUGUUACCUCGUUAAAAACCUUGCUGAAAAACCAAUUUUGGGACAAAAUCGGUUCAAGGGAAAAAGAGUGAAAUGCAUGCUAUGAGACCUAAUAACCACAUCUAUCCUUGGCCGUUUGCCUGCAAAUAUAGUCCGAUUGUUAGUCCGAUUCAUAACAUGGUUAAAGAGUAAUUGAGUUCAUACCUUAGUAGCAGUACCGUUUUAAGUGUGUCACGUUUCAGUUGUUCGGUAGUUGCACACCGUUUCCUGCUUCGCGUUUGUACGAGCCUUUGCCAGUAAUUCUGAAGACUCGAUAUGGUCCUUCCCAAUUUGGUCCCAUCUUCCCCUCGUUCGAGUUCCGAGUAUGUAAUGUUACUUUCCUCAACACCAAGUCCCCGAUCUUGAAGUGUCGGUGGUCACGUAGUUUUGGGUCGUGACAAACUUAGUAUCAGAGCACUAGGUUCUAAUUCGAGUCCUAGGAAGUCUAUGGAAUCGUGUCUAGUAGAGUUCUACUUAUCGGUGUGUUGUACACCACACUUAUAUCGGGAAGGCUAUAUGAACAUUGUAGGAUUGUUUCAUUCUUUCUUCUCACUCUAGAUCGUGCGUUAAAGCUUGAAGCAAUAGAAAAAUUUCCAGUCUCUAUCAAAUUUUCGACGAGAAUAAUGAGGAAAAGUGAUGAGCAUAAAGUUUGAGAUUCAAGUAAUGACACUAAUUACUUCAGAAAUAGCCAUGAAAGUGUCAUUGACCUUUAAUGCGAAUAUAAGGGCUUAUGUCGAAAAUAUAAUGAAAUGUGUACAAUUUGAAUGGGGAAACAACAGAUUGAAAUUGCUAGCCAGGAGCUAAUGACUUGUCUUAAGGAAGAAGAGAUGUAAUAUUGUUGAAUAUUAUCGUAAUGAUAUCGAAAAUGCGAGAAAUUUAUGUUAUAAAAUAAUAAUAAGGGCACCUUGAAAAGACAUAGCGUUGGUAUAUGUUUGAAAUUGCUAGAGGCAGAGGACAGCUAGUCACGGUGAUGGCCGCCAGUUUUGGAUGACGAGAAGAAUAGGAACAAGUAAAUUUGACGAGGGGAAAGAUAAUCUUGAGUCGACCAAAAAAAAAAGGGGUUCGUAUAUCCAUAUUUUGUGAUAGAGUAUCCAAGGAUGAUAUAGAUCGAGGUGGUAAAGGAAGACGAGUCACCAAGCCUAUAACAAGCGUUAGUAUAACUCGUAGAUAUGAGGCAUGGUUGAAACAAUGGUUGUGGAUAUCUUUUGAUAAUAAGAACUGGUUGGACGCUUGAUAUGAUAGGUUGCAAACGACAGGUGAAAAUUUUGGAUAGGCCUAGAAAUAGAGGAAACUCUGUCAAUUUUUUUGAAAAUUUGAAGAGUUAGUCGGAUUUUCGAUACCUUAAGGAUUUAAUAGUUAAGGAAAGCUUGGAGAUUAAGCUUUUGGACUUAAGUACGACAAAAGGAAUUACAUUCGAGGAUAAAUAUUUCUAAGUGGGGGAGAAUGUGAAGCCCGUGAAAUUUUAUAUUUAGGUUGGGCUAAUUUCAAACUUAAGAAUGCAAUCUAAAUAAACCUGAGCUACAUGAGAUUACUUAAGUGGAAAAAAGAUAGUAAAAUGCAUUGGAGAUAACUAUUUCAUUAAUGGUGAGUGCCGAGUUAAUUGGGAAUAAAAAGAAGUCAUGAAGAACACGUGAGAAAUAUUAAUCCUCAAAGGAUAAAUGCUGGAAUAAACUGCAACGAAAAACAUAGUUAGCAAAACAAAAGACGCAAAAUGAUGAAAAGGGGAGGAUCUGGAGGCAAUGGAUUUCAUUGACUUCAAAGUCACCAACCUCAAUUGAAUAAUAUUAAUUAAUAAAUAAGUGAAUGGUUGAAUUAAAUUACAUGAGGAUACUUUCAUAUAAUAUGGGUAUAAUGGAAUUAGUGGUUGGUGUUUUAGGUAUACAAAAAGAGUCAUGAGAUUUGAUUGGAAGAAUAUUGGCAAGGAAUCAAAGGAUAAGAUGAUAAGCUUCAGAGGAUGGACGUUGGCUUGGAUGCGUCGCAUCCCAUCGCUCCAAUGUUCCCAGCUGCCAAGGACAAAAGCAGUGACUCCUGGCCAAAGUGCCAAUCUUCGCGUCCAAAACUUUAAGCAAAAAACAAGCAGUAGUUGUUGCUUUUUAAGGCAUUAUAGGAAGGGAUUCUUUUAUUAUUUUGAGGCUUGGUUUUUGAAGGUCUAGAGAGAGAAGAGAGCUCUCCACAAUUGAUGUCCUCUUGAGGUAAGAAUUAAAUGUAUUUUUGGUAGAUUUGAUUCUUAAAUUACAUCUUCUAACUCUCCACCUACAUGGAAUUCAUAGAUUUUUUCAAGAAAAUCCUAAGAACAUCUCAAUAACUCAAAUCUUGAAAAUUUUAGGGUUUGACAAAGAGGUAACCCCUUCAUUUCAAUCUUAUAUAUUAUACUCCAUGGACAUGGUAGAGUAUAUUUAUGAAGGAAGAUUUAUAUUUAAGCCUCUAUUGAUGAAACCCUAUAAAGCUAGUCUUGAAAUUGGAAAGUUUAUUGGUAGAGAUGAUGAAUGGUGUUGGGUUUUGUUUGACCUAUGUCGUUUUGAGAUUCUAAUGGAAUAACUAGAUUCCAUAAGAUAUUUAAUGGAGAAUUAGAGUUAAAACUCAAGGAAUGAUCUUCAAGUGGUGAAAUAAGGAUUUUGUGAAACUUGGACCUAAGUGUUAGACACUUAGUUGGUUUGGUUUGUAUUGUUGUGACAGGCUAUUGAUACAUGUGAGCUCAUAUAUGUAGAUUAUGAAAUAUUGACGUCAUUCAAAUUUGGUUUUCAACCUCCUUAUAUUAUGGUAAAUUGAGUUGAGUUGGUUGAAGAAUUUCUUUGAAGGUAUUAAGGACUCAAUGAAGUUACGGAAUGUGAAGCUAAACCUUUUCUUUAUUUUGGCAUGAUAUCGUAACUACAUAUGUUUGAUAACGAGACAUAAAGAGAAGUUCAUACUCCUAAAUUUAUGUACAUUAUCCUAGUCCCAUAAGUUACAGUAUUCUCUCUUAUUGGGAUUUUACUGUCAUGUCAAGAUGGGACCAAGCGAAACAAUCUAUGUUAACUAUAAGAAAUUAAAUGAGUUUUUUCCUGAUCACGGGAGUUAACCUCGUGCCCAGGUAUACCUUUCAAUCUAGUAAGUGUUCAAUCAAUAUGACUUGCUCUAACUACUCAAUCGUCGAUUUGGUGGCAUCGGUAUCAUCAGGAGCUAUAAACGAUCUAGGAACUAUAUAAUCAUCAUCCUCGUCUACUCCUCACUCUUCUAGUUCGGUCGGGACCGAUAUCGCUGAUUGUUAUUUAAUUUCUUCCUUCCUGGUCGGCUUUGUGUUCCUUGAUGUCGAGACCACGGGCACCGGGAUUAGCUCGUCGACUGUGAACAUUUCCUUUGCGGUCGGCUGCUCUCCGUAGACUGUCUUGAUUCCUCCCAGCGUAACUUCAGUGCAUGGUGUAAGGUUAAGGAUAUCGCCCUCAUGUUGUGAACCCAAGGCCUUCCGAAUAUGGCGUUGUACCUCAUGUCCCCUUUGAUCACGUAGAAUUUUGUCUCUUGGAUCGUUCUGGCGGUGUUCACUGGCAAAGUUAUCUCCCUUUUAGUAGUUUCGCAUGCCAUGUUAAAUCCGUUUAACACCCAGACCGCCGGCACUAUUUUGUCUUGUAACUCCAACUGCUCUACGACCCUCGAUCUGAUGAUAUUGGCUGAGCUACUUGGAUCAAUCAACACACGUUUAACUCGAGAUUUAUUGAUAAGUACAGAUAUUACCAGUGCAUUAUUAUGAGGUUGUACGAUUCCCUUGGCAUCCUCGUCGUAGAACGAAAUGGUUCCCUCCGGGACGUAAUCUCAGGUGUGCUUUUCCUAUCGUUUUGGCAAACCUACUCUCUGAGAAACAAGGGAACUAUCUCUGUACGGGUGAAAUCGGGAUUAGCGCAUACCCCGAUUUCCCGGUGAAUCAAACGAAGUAAGAUUCUGAAUAUAUGAGAUCGAAAUUGAAGCUGGGAACACUUUGUAUCAAGGCCCGAACGGGGUACUCACCGUCGGGCCUUGAUCACUCAGAAAUUCUCGGAGGUGCCCGUUAUUAACCAACCGGGAAACUUCUUCUCUCAAUUGCCAGCAGUCCUCGGUCGUGUGGCCAUGAGUGCUAUGAUACUUACACAUCAGGUUACAAUCUCUCUAGGUAGGGUCGGACUGCAAUGGUCGAGGCCACUUGGUUACCUGGAUGCGCCCAAUGGCUGAUACGAUGCUGGCAGCAUCAAUGUUGAAGUUAUACUCUAAUAAUCUUGGCGCUUCCCUUCCCCCGAGUGGUCUGUCGAAACCAUUUUUGCUCAUCAGACCUCGGCUAUUGGGCCCUCGAUCGCUUCUCUUUUCGUUCCUUGUGGGGUUAUGCCCGGACCCAUUUCCCCUUCGAUCUGCGUUGUAUGGUUGAUACCUAUCGUGGACCGGCCUUAGAUUCAUGGUCGACGACUCUUUUAGAUGUGUCGUUGGCUCUGAUGGAUAAACGAACCCAGAAAUGGCUUCGAGUUUGUCGUCCUCGACUCUGAUUUUUGACUGGUACCUGUUGUGGACGUCGACCCAAGUUACCGCUGGGUACUCUACCAAAUUAUGUUUUAGCUGUUGCGAAGCCAAGGAGCUUCGAGGGUUAAGUCCUUGAGUGAAUGCAUGAACGGUCCAAUCAUCCGCAACUGGAGGCGGGUCCAUCCGUUCCAUCUAAAACCUUGACACGAACUCCCUAAGCAUCUAGUUGACUUUUUGCUAAACCUUGAAAAGGACUGAUUUUCUGGUCUCGACCUUGAUGGCCCCGACAUGAGCCUUCACAAAAGCAUCUGCAAGCAUAAAGAAUGAGUCAAGGGAAUUAGGGGGUAAGUCAUCGUCUUCCAAGUCGUUGCCUUUGAUGGCGCAUGUGUAGGAAGUCACAUGCUCAUCCGGAUCCGUGAUUCCGUUAUAUUUUGGAAUAUCGGGCAUACGAAACCUCUUCGGGAUUGACUUUGGUGCCACACUCGGAGAGAAAGGCUUUUGGACAAAUUUCUUGGAAUCCGAGGGUGCUCCCGGGAUUUUAUCGAGGAUGCUCCCGAGAUUUGAUAGACCCUAGAAUUAUAUGUCCCCACCUUCUUGUCGUUGGACUCAUUUUUCUUUUCACUUGAUUCCGCUCGCUUCAUUAAUGCUUCAAGCAUUUUCAUUACUUCAGGACUGACCCCGGACUCAGCUUCACCUGGUCUGUCGGUGAUAUGCUCAUUUCUUCAGGUGUUUUCCCGGGACGGUUCGUGCUCGACUCGACUGGGGGCACGACUUUGAUUUUGCAGCUUUGCUAUCGCCGCCUGUUGAGCCUGUAACAUUUCGAAGAUUAACCGUAGGCUAACCCCAUCACCAUCGCCUCCGGGCGCUUCUCGAGCCGUUGGUCGAGUUCCCCGUGACCGUUGUUCUCGGGAUCGGUUGGCAGGUUGACAUCGAUGGCUACCUGCGAGUUAGCAUCGACAGGGUCGGCAACUGGGACCCGUUGGGAUCAGUAGGAGGCACCUUGUUGCUAGGCACCAGAUUGUUGUUUUCGCCUUGAUGGACAAAUUCAGCCUCAAUGUUCAAGAGAGCAGACUGAGAAUUUGACAUUUUUAAGCUGACUUGAAAUUGAGACCUUAAACAACAAGCGUAAAAUAGAGUGUGUUAUGGAGAUUUGUAUCAAACCAUCAUUAUUAUCCUCAACCCCACGGUGGGCGCCAAACUGUUUACCCUUAAACGGAUAAUAAUUCAAUUUAUACGCAAUUUUAAGGAUAUGUGGAUUGAUUCAACACAAAUAAUCAAGAAUGUUAGAUAAAUGAGUUAAAUAUAGAAUGAAUAAUCAAACCAAUUGUGAUGUUACGUCCGGGUUCAGAUUUAAGCUGAACAAAAGCCUUACCCUCUAUCGGACCCUUAACUUGAUGCCAAUUGUGUAUGAAGAACAACAAUAAAAUAUGAACUUUGCAAUGGCUAGAAAGCAGAAAAAUGAACUUGUAUUUCUUGGUCUGCGUCUUACAAUGUGUCCUAUUGAAUAAAAAGCUUCCACUUUAUAUAGUAGGAAAGUUUCACCCCUAAUACAAUUCUAAAAAAUGUAAAAAAAUCCUUCUUUCUCAUCAAUUACUUAUCCGCUACCGACAUCGGGCGAGAUCUGCGCCGUGAUAUCCGGUUGGGUGCGGAUUUCACGGUCCUCUGUUAGUCGUGUGCAACUGUUUGUCAAGCUUUCCGAGGUCUUGGAGCUCGUUCUGGAUUCGAGGAGUGUUGUCUUAUCAGGCCCGGUGGCGAGUACCCCGUUCGGGCCUUGAUACAAGAGCUCCUAGCUUCGAUUUCGAUCUCAUAUAUUCGUACUCUUACUUCAUUUGAUUCACCGGGAAAUCGGGAUGUCCGCUAACCCCUAUUUUACCCAUACACAGAGAUAUUAUAUAUUAUCGUGAAUAAAAAAAAAAGAUAUUAUGUAUAAUCGGAUGGACGGUCACGAAUAUCCAAAUUUUCAGACAUUGAAUUUCAGAAGAAAGAUUGGAAUGUGAGAAAAGAGAACAACUACACCUAUGUUAUUCUUAUUGUUAAGAUUAAGUUAAAGCCUUCAGAUUUUAUCUCGACGAGUAUGCAUGCUCUACAGAAAGUACGGGCGAUAACUUGGAGGAAAAAUCACUAGAAAUGGUCACGUCUUGGAUCACCCCAAGUAGUUUAGGUUUCAAACAAGAUAGGCUUUUGAUUCACCAAUUCGCUCAAUAUUUCAGGACGAUCAUCAACGAAAAAAUAAGGAGUUCAGUGUACUUUUUUGGACAAGUUUAUGGUGCAAUUUAAGCAUUUUUAAAGAAAAUAUUUAUAGUUUCUUAACUAUUCUUUUAAUUGUUUCUGUUCUGUGAUCUGAAAGAGAGUCCGUAUAUGGAUAAUUUAAAAUUAUCCUCAUCCAAUAUGAAUUACAAUCACUUUACUCCUUAUUAGAGAAGAUAAAUAGGCAGAGAGAGUUAAACUUGAAGGUAAAAAUAGGUUAAUGCAAAACGGAGCAUUACCCAAUCCGUUCAAAGUUUAUUGAGGUCAAAAUAAUUUAGUUUAAGACUACUUAAAUGACAGGUCAUAAUCUAAUAACCCACUUACGAUAAAUGUACCUCUUGAAAAGCUUACCUUAUUAUUAGAAAAAGAUUUGGAAAAAAAUGUCAAAACUUACGCAUUUUCCUUAAAUUAUUAGCUUGAAUUUUAUUUGCAUUAUUUCCAAUCGCGAUAUUUAUUUUGUUGAAAUGGAGUUGCAUUUUAACUCGUUGAAUUAUACAAUUUGAGACAAUUGGGAUUAUUUUAUUUGACCAAUAAUUUGAUGAGUUACUUUUGGAUCAAAUGAAUGAACAAGAUUAAAAGCACAAUUAAAUUUGGCCGAGUUAGACAUGUUGCUAAUUUAAAAAUGGGUGCUCCAUCCUAUGGGUGUCAAUGGAUAUUCGAAAACCGAAUAAAUCGAUCAAACCGUACCGCAUCGAUUUAUGUUUCUUUUUAAGAAACCAUAAGUUUUUUUAUAUAAAUUUAUAACCACACCGAUAAUUAGGGUAGGUUUUUUAUUUUAUAAAAAUAAACCGAAAAAAUUCCGAAACGUACCGAAUAAAUUUUACAUGUGAAAAAUAUAUUUAUCUAGUAAGUUUAAAAAUAAUAAUGCAUUAAAAUUUUCUUUGGGCCUUGGAAUUAUGCAAACUAUUACAAAACCAACAAGUAAUUAAACUCAAAAUACUAAUUCCUAAAACCUAUUAUUCUACAUUACUUAAACUAAGUUAUUUCAAGUAUCUUUAUUAGCAAGACACAAAGUAUUCUAGCGAUAAUGAGUAGCAAACUACAAUGCAUUGAAUAUGUUUCCUUUCAUAUAAUUUAGAUUUAUCUUUUUGAAUAUUUAAUCUUGUAUAUACUUUAUUCUUGAGUCACGUCUUGGUUAAUAUCUUUCUACUCGUGUGAUUUAUAUUUUCUUUGCCUUUGUUUGAUUUUUUUUACGUUGUUGUAGAAUAGUUGAUGGAUCUAUACCCUUGCCAUCUUUCAUUUUUUUUUUAAUUUAUCACCAUUUAAACAGUAAAAAUGUAUAGAGGUUUUGCUAAGUCCUAUAAAAGAACGUAUGUUAUUGCAUUUUACUUCUAAUGGUGAAUUUUACAUGAUAUUUAAAGAAAAUAUUAAAAAUUAACCGAACCGUACCGAUACCAAUUAGAAACCGACAUGAUUGAGACGGUUUCGAAAAAUUUAAUUUUGGUUAUACAUAAUAAAAUAACCGAAAAAUUGAUAUGGUACCAAUUUUAUAAAAUAACCGGCCGAACCGAACCAUUGUCACCCCUACUUCAUCCCUUAGGGAGUAGGGACUAGCGGUGUACAAACCGAACCAGAAAAUCGCACCAAACCGAAAAGUCAGACCAAACUGAUUAAAAAAUCCGAUUAGGUUUGAUUUGACUUGGUUUGGUAUUGAGUAAAAAAAACUGAACAAAAUCGACAUAUAAAUAUAUAAUUUUUAUAUAUAAUUUUAAGACUUCGUAUAGAAUUUUAUUUAAAAUAUGUGUAGAAAUAUUUGAGAUCCUCUCAUGAGAUAUAAUAUUUAUUAGAACUAUAAAGUGCAUUCAUUUGUAUUUACUUUAAAUAAUAGAUUGUAUCACUUUCUUAUUAUGUGUUAUUGAAAUGCUUCAAUCAUCUCUUUGUUCUUUCAUAUUCAUAUGUCAAGAUUUAUUAUACUGUAUGUUUUUUGAAUUUGAAGUGGUAUUUCGAUAAUCUAAAAUCACAUAGAACAUAUCAUUAUUUAGGUAUCAUAUUGAUUUUUAUGUCUAAUUAUUAAAUUUGGUUAACCCUAAAAGCGUACAUCAAUCAAAAAUUAUUAGUAGACAAUUAAGAAAAUAAACUAUUAUGUGUUACUAAAAAUAAUUCUUCCGUAAGAUCACUUUAAUAGAUCAUAUGUUUGUUAUUUUUUUUUAAUUUUUAGUAAACAUAUUCACUUAUCAAAAUUUAAUCUAUAAUUUUAAUAAUACAAAAUUAAAAUAAUAUUCAUGUAACAAAAAAAUCCGAAAAACUCGAAAAAUCCGACAAAAUUGAAUCAAUCCAAAUCGAUAUAAUUGGUUAGAUUUGAUUUUUAAAAAAUCCAAACAAACCCGAUCUAUAUAUACCCCAGUACAGAUCAUAUGUUUAAAAGGCCAUAUUGUUUAUCCAUCGCACAUGGAACUUCGUCUAUGCGUGCGUCGGAUAUAGAGUAUAUUGUGUAACCUCUCAUCCGGUGCCACGUAUAAGAAGCCAACUGAAGCUUCUCGAAAGGCAGUAAGUAUUGCUCCGACUUUAUUUCUAUUUUUUAAUUCAACUUUUUCGGAAGCUGUCCGUAUAACGUAGCUUCUGGUUGUUUCUUUUUCUGUCGCUUUUUUCUUUUUAUAUUUUCCCCUUACCACCAUUUCCUCCUUUCCUGAACUUUCCAACUCUUUCCAUCUCUUAUCUGUAACAAACAUAGUUCCUACCCCCCCCCCCCAACACACACAAAACACCUCUAUGUGUCGUCGGAACCUUCUAGAAUAACCAAAAAUCCCAACGGACGUCUUUCCUGCAACUCUCCUGCCUCCCUGCAAUUUUGGCUCCAGAUCUGCUGCGAGUAGCAUCUUCAGUCAAGUAUGUAAUUUUGGAAUAUAAUUUACCUUUUAUUUGAUAUCUUUGCUCGUAAAUGGUUUUGUAUAGAAUUUAACGAUCUUUAGUUAAGGUGAGAAGCGAUGACUCCACCGCCGAUAGAGCGGAACGGUGGAGAAUCAACGGCCGGUGAAACGGCGAGGUCUGUCCCGACGCCGUUUUUAACAAAGACGUAUCAGCUCGUCGAGGAUCCUUCCAUCGACGACGUUGUCUCUUGGAACGAAGACGGAUCUAGCUUUAUCGUAUGGAAUCCGACGGAGUUUGCUAGAGAUUUGCUUCCUAAAUAUUUUAAGCAUAACAAUUUCUCUAGCUUCGUUCGGCAGCUCAACACCUAUGUAAGUUCCUAUAUCUGAAUUCAUUAAUUAGAUUUGCCAUGAAAUAUAGAAAGUCAUUGCUUUUUCGUCGAUGAUAAAUGUUUUGAUUCUGUUUUAUAGGGAUUUCGGAAAGUCGUACCUGAUCGAUGGGAAUUCUCAAACGACUGCUUUCGGAGAGGUGACAAAAGUCUGUUACGCGAUAUCCAACGUCGGAAAGUAGUCACGCCGAUUGCUACUC
rnacentral:lncRNA from 1 species